rnacentral:rRNA from 1 species
GAUGAACGCUGGCGGCGUGCCUAAUACAUGCAAGUCGAGCGAACGGACGAGAAGCUUGCUUCUCUGAUGUUAGCGGCGGACGGGUGAGUAACACGUGGAUAACCUACCUAUAAGACUGGGAUAACUUCGGGAAACCGGAGCUAAUACCGGAUAAUAUUUUGAACCGCAUGGUUCAAAAGUGAAAGACGGUCUUGCUGUCACUUAUAGAUGGAUCCGCGCUGCAUUAGCUAGUUGGUAAGGUAACGGCUUACCAAGGCAACGAUGCAUAGCCGACAUGAGAGGGUGAUCGGCCCCACUGGAACUGAGACACGGUCCAGACUCGUACGGGAGGCAGCAGUAGGGAAUCUUCCGCAAUGGGCGAAAGCCUGACGGAGCAACGCCGCGUGAGUGAUGAAGGUCUUCGGAUCGUAAAACUCUGUUAUUAGGGAAGAACAUAUGUGUAAGUAACUGUGCACAUCUUGACGGUACCUAAUCAGAAAGCCACGGCUAACUACGUG